GAAGGCAUGGCUCAAGUGGUAGAGCACCUACCUAGCAAGUACAAGGCCCUGAGUUCAAUUCGCAGUAUCACCA
rnacentral:tRNA from 1 species